rnacentral:lncRNA from 10 species
CCUUUGCCCUUCUCGAGGCCGGUGCUUGACUGGAGGAGGGCUGGCAGCAGAAGUGCAGCUGACCGGGUUGCGUUUUCGUACGGCUGACUAAAGCGGAUACCGGUGGCGACUCAUUUCUCGUUUUAUUUUUCAACGAUUUGGCGGAGAAGCUCCUCUUGUGAAUGGACUUUGGAUUUCUUGGAGCUGCGCUGCGGGUCCCACAGUGUGGCUUUCGGCCCGUGCUGUGCUGGCGCCUGCACUUCCUCUGGCGGGGCACGGGGUGGCGCUCCCUGGUAAAGCAGCGGCCAGGGGGAGCCGUGAGUGAGGCGCUGCCUCUCCCGCUGAAGCGGGUUCCAAGGCCACCGUGAGGGGGACCAUCCAUCCAGGUAAAACGUGUUCUUUCCUUGUUCCUUUGCGAAUCGAUGGGGAUCAGGCUUCCCCAGGUGGUGAAGUGAGGAACAGGGACCGCGGGGCUCGCCUGACCAGUGGGGUCUCCAUCCUUGUCCGUGCUGACAAAAGACAAGAACAGACAGCGCCUGAAAUCUUCCCGCCUCCGUGAGGGAAGCCUGCGUCUGGGAACGCGCCGCAGGGAAGUGAUCCCUGAGUGAGGGAGGAGGUGCCGGGGCAUCAUUAAUCAGACCUCAAUGCCGGGAAGGUUCUUUGUUUAAAGAAACACUCAUGUUUAAAGAGCACUUGGUGCGGACUUGCUGUGGCCAUCGCCCUCAACAGCUCAUCUUUAGGAGGUGCAGGCUGAAUUCACGCCUCGGUGUCGUCCAUGUCUGCCUGCCGCGCAGAGGAGACAGCGAGAGGCCUUCCCACCGCACGGCUUUUACGGGAAGCUCUUCGCAUUGGCUACAGGGGUGUGGUUUGGUUUAUAGCCACACCAAGUAAUUUUAAUAGAACUCAAUAACUGUGUUGCCUUGCAGGCUCCGAGUGCUACAGGCAGACCCGAGUCCGAGUCUUCCUACGGUUCAUUGUCCCCCCCUGGAUUUCCUAGGGACUCCAGAUACGAUGGCAUCGAUGUCAGUUAACUUGGCACUUCUUAAAAUAGAUCUAUGAUCAAAUCUUAAGUUUUUCCGAAUAAGACUCUGGAGGAAUGCAGGAAGGUCAUUUGAUUACUUUAAAAUAAGAGGAUUUUAUGUUAAAAUAUUGAAAAAGCCAGUCAUAAAACUAAGCUCUGUACCAAUGAAUAUAGUUCGCGAAGCCAGCAGCACAGGCUUAUUAUUAUAAAUAUCAAACACCACCA